UGCAAGUCGAACGGCGUCCCUCGGGGCGCAGUGGCGCACGGGUGCGUAACGCGUAUGCAACCUACCUUGAACUGGGGGAUAGCCCGGAGAAAUCCGGAUUAAUACCGCAUAACACCAUGUGAGGGCAUCUGAGUAUGGUUAAAGAUUCAUUGGUUCAAGAUGGGCAUGCGUGCCAUUAGCUAGUUGGUGGUGUAACGGACCACCAAGGCUACGAUGGCUAGGGGUUCUGAGAGGACGGUCCCCCACACUGGCACUGAGAUACGGGCCAGACUCCUACGGGAGGCAGCAGUAGGGAAUAUUGGGCAAUGGGCGGAAGCCUGACCCAGCCAUGCCGCGUGCAGGAUGAAGGCCUUCUGGGUUGUAAACUGCUUUUAUCAGGGAAGAAAACACCCAUGCGUGGGGAACUGACGGUACCUGAGGAAUAAGCACCGGCUAACUCCGUGCCAGCAGCCGCGGUAAUACGGAGGGUGCAAGCGUUGUCCGGAUUUAUUGGGUUUAAAGGGUGCGUAGGCGGCCCAUUAAGUCAGUGGUGAAAGCCCGGGGCUCAACCCCGGAACCGCCAUUGAUACUGGUGGGCUUGAGUAUGGACGAGGUUGGCGGAAUUGAGGGUGUAGCGGUGAAAUGCUUAGAUACCCUCAAGAACACCGAUUGCGUAGGCAGCUAACUAGGCCAUAACUGACGCUGAGGCACGAAAGCGUGGGGAGCGAACAGGAUUAGAUACCCUGGUAGUCCACGCCGUAAACGAUGAUUACUCGAUGUCGGCGACAGACUGUCGGCGUCUUAGCGAAAGCGUUAAGUAAUCCACCUGGGGAGUACGCCCGC
rnacentral:rRNA from 1 species